UCCGUAGGUGAACCUGCGGAAGGAUCAUUACAGAAUGAAAGUGCUUAACUGCAUUUUUUUUACACAUGUGUUUUUCUUUUUUUUUGAAAACUUUGCUUUGGUGGGCCCAUGGCCUGCCAGAGAUUAAACUCAACCAAAUUUUUAUUUAAGUCAACUGAUUAACUAAUAGUCAAAACUUUCAACAACGGAUCUCUUGGUUCUCGCAUCGAUGAAGAACGCAGCGAAAUGCGAUAAGUAAUAUGAAUUGCAGAUAUUCGUGAAUCAUCGAAUCUUUGAACGCACAUUGCGCCCUUUGGUAUUCCAAAGGGCAUGCCUGUUUGAGCGUCAUUUCUCCCUCAAACCUUCGGGUUUGGUGUUGAGCGAUACGCUGGGUUUGCUUGAAAGAAAGGCGGAGUAUAAACUAAUGGAUAGGUUUUUUUUCCACUCAUUGGUACAAACUCCAAAAUUCUUCCAAAUUCGACCUCAAAUCAGGUAGGACUACCCGCUGAACUUAAGCAUAUCAAUAAGCGGAGGG
rnacentral:rRNA from 1 species